rnacentral:lncRNA from 1 species
AUGGUCCUGGUGGAUUCACAGGAUGAGGAGGAGGAGGAAGAGGCAGAAGAAGAGGAAGAAAGAGAGGAGGGAGAAUUGCCAAAAGAGACGAGCAGACACGGCCACGUACACCGGGUGACUGCCCUGGUGAAUGGCGAUGUGGAGCGCAUGGGGAACGGUCCCCAGGCCCUCCAGGAUGACAGUAGAGAAACCCAGAGCGACAUUUUCCAGGAAGAAUGUGACCGACCUGUUUGAUUGAAAUUCAUCUUUUCCUUUAUGUUCCUGGAGCACCCUCAGAGGAUGCUUGGUUGGAGUUUAGCUUUCCAGACGCCCUAAAGCAAUAUCCCAACCUGGGCUCUGAGAUCUCUCACUUUGGCAAUGGUUUGGGCCCCUCAGCAAAGAUCCCACCUCCCCUUCUGCUCUUUUCUCCCUAAUUAGCUUGAUUUGGGGUCGGCUCCCUCAAGGAUGCUAAAGAGCCGUAGGGACAGGCAAACACUUGGGAGGAAGCCUUAGACGUGGCAUUUGGUUUCCAAAGUGCAACUUUCCCGGGGAAUCUUGACUCCAUCCAGAUGUCCCCACUUCCUUGAGAGCACAAGUGAAAUGUCUUUCCUUAGCAAGAGGAAGAUGAUCGAAGGUUUGCCAGCAGCUCAUGCCAGUGUACAGAGAAGAGUGUUCUGGGAUCCCAGGGCAAGCACCUAAAAUGACCCAGGCAAUAAUCCCUUUGUCACUAUCCAAGGAAGGUAUAGGUGGGCCAGAUUUCCAGGCAAAUGUCCACUGACUGAAAAAAAGGGCAGGAUUUGCCAGAAACUAUUAUAUCUGGGGGGGGACCUUUCUCACCUUGGUGGGAAGUUAGGUCAACUAAAAGUUGCAGUCUCUCAGUGAGUGAGAGCAUUGCUGGCAUUUGAAGAAGGAGAUGUGGAUUAUUAGAAUGGAAGAGCACUGGACCUGGAAGGCCACAACCUGUGUAUCCUUGGGCCUAUCACCUCUCUGGGCCUCAGUUUCUUCAUCUGGAAAAUGAUAGAGUGGAUGACUUCUAAGGGCUCUUCUAAAGCCCCACAGGCUCUAUGGAUCCUGUGAUCGUUCAUAACUUUUCCGGGUCCAUAGAUGAGCCAUAAUUCUUUUUGGAGAGGUGGGAGGUUAAUGAGAUAACAAGGAGAUGCUUUUAUUGUAACCAGAAUGUAUAGGGAAAUGCUCCACAGGGAACAGGAAAAGUGUAAUUAGGUGAGCCUCUACUUUUUCUGCUCCCUUAGCCAUUGAUAUGAAAGUCAUUGAUACAAAAGUAAGAACCCCAUAUAGUUUGCCAUGGAACAAGUAGAAAUCUGGACUGGUUCUCAACUUUCUCACUCGGCUCUGGUGACCAUGAUUGAGUCAUGGCCAUUCUUGACCUGGUCUUCUGCAUCUCUGAAAUGGGGAUGAGAAAACAUCUUUUCUGCUUGCCCCAAGGGGCUACUAGGAAGCUAGCCCCAUUGGAUAACUAUGAAAUGGAAGGAAAAUGCUAUGGAAUAAUGACAAGUGGGAGACUCUAGUGAGCUGCCAUUGUUUUUUUUCCACAAGGCCUUCAGUGAGUGCAAUCCUCAAGCCUUUUACAUGAUGGUGAUAGAGGAUGUAAGGGCUUGUGCUAGGCACUGCACUUGUUUUCCACGUGUACAGAUCUGCUCAAGAUGGGGCUGGGAUGCACUCUGGGACUUGGAAGGUCUGGGUUCUUAUCUUGCUUCAGAUAUUCACUUUCUGUGUGAGCAUGAGCAAAUCACUUCACUUCUCUGAGACUCAGUUUCCUUAUCUGUAAAAUGGAGAUAGAAUACCUGUAACACCUACCUCACAGGGCUGUCAUGAGGCUCCAAUGAGGUCAUGUAAAUAACAGAAGUGCUUUGGCAAACUUACUUAUCCUCCUGCCUUUUUCAUCACCAUGAACUUAUGUCACCCUGGACUUUGCCAAGACAGCUUGAACUCAGCAGCAGACUCCCUUUUCUAACACUAAAGUUAUCUAGGUUAUAAAAUUUGUUGUUGUUUUUUUUUUUAUCACAUUCAUUCACAUGUUGUGAUGACUGUGAUGCCUGAAAUGGGUUUCAUUAUGCACGGCUCUUUGCGUUAGCUGCACCUUAUUCUGCAUGAGAAGCAGUGCAGUGGUUAGAGUUGACCUCAGGGUCAAGAAGACCUGGGUUCAAAUCCUGCUUUUGCCAUAUAUUAAGUACGUGACCCUGGGUGAAUCACUUGGUCUCUCAAUGCCCUAGGCAACCCCCUCACACAAAGUUUCAGAGAAGGUACCAGGUGGAAAAAGUUCCCUGAUGAGGAUUUCCCUUGAGUGCUGAAAUCAUAGGUUCAGACAAAAAAAUAUGUAAAAUAACCUUGCGGGAAUUUUUUUAAAAAAAGAUGUCAGACUGAUGUCAAUUGGCCAAAGUCAGCCCAGGUACCAUUUUGCUGCCAAGGAACAAGGGAAAAUCGAAUACAGGGCCUUCCAUCCCAGGAAUCAUAGUGUUAUAUUUUGUCUCUCCACUGGGCAAUUUCCAUUUUGCUCCAUAGUACCUCCACUGUUCGACUAAUUCAUGUAGUUUUAGAAUGGGUUGCCAUGACAGGUGUAUUCUACCACCUCCAGGAGCUGGAUCAUGGUCUCCGCUCCUUUGAGUCUUUCAGGGCCCAUUUGGUGAAAUUCCUGCAUUUGAGAAUACCAUCCCUUGGACAACUGGGGCUUGGUCUACCUUGAUUUAGCAAUUGACAUUGUGAACCCUAGUAACUUUAUGCAAUAGGAAAUGAGAGAAAGUUGCGCAAGGUCAUUAAAGAUUUCCCUAACUUCCUGUUCCUCCUACAGAUAUUUUAGUAAUUGAGUCAGAGCAGAGAUGGGGAACUAUACAAGUCAGGGAUUUUUCCACUCACAAAUAAAAAUGUAGUGCCAACUUGCUAUUAGCCA